rnacentral:rRNA from 1 species
UCGAGAGGCUUCGGCAAUGGGGGAAACCCUGACCGAGCGACGCCGCGUGGAGGAUGAAGGCCCUUGGGUUGUAAACUCCUUUUGUUCGGGAAGAAGUGCGAUCAGGUGAAUAAUCUGGUCGUUUGACGGUACCGGACGAAUAAGCUCCGGCUAACUCCGUGCCAGCAGCCGCGGUAACACGGGGGGAGCAAGCGUUGUUCGGAAUCACUGGGCGUAAAGGGCGUGUAGGCGGUUUGGUAAGUGGGAUGUGAAAUGUUCCGGCUCACCCGGAGAGGUGCAUCCCAUACUGCUAGACUUGAGUACGGGAGAGGAUGGGGGAAUUCCUGGUGUAGCGGUGAAAUGCGUAGAUAUCAGGAGGAACACCGGUGGCGAAGGCGCCCAUCUGGCCCGAUACUGACGCUGAGGCGCGAAAGCUAGGGGAGCAAACGGGAUUAGAUACCCUAGUAGUCCCUGAGCGGGCUGGCAAGGCGCAU